CACAAGAUAUUUUUCUCAACGUGUGUUCACUAAAUGCAUUACCGUGCUUUCGCCCUAGGUUUAAAUGGUAUGACUAAUAGACUUUUAAUUCAUGAUAGAACUUUUAUUUAGGUAAAGGUUAAUACUCUAACCCAGGGGUGUCAAACUCAUUUUAGGUAGGGGGCUUUCUGUCAUUUUUACCCUUAGCAAAGUCCUCCAGCAGGCCACACUGGACUUGCCGGCCGCACGUUUGACCCCCCUGCUCUAACCAGAACAGUUCACUUUACAAGUUACUGAAAAUCGAGGGCAACACUGGAAAUGGAACAAAUAGACCUGUCAAACCGAGUAUACGUUCCUCAUUGGUGGAGCCUUGUGUUGUUCAUUCCAGCCUUGAAGCAGACUAACGUGUACGAACAUGACAACUCUACGUACGUCACAAAUUCUUUACACCUAUGGAAGCCAGAAGAACUUGUAUUGAUACGUUUCAACACACGUGUGCCUGCAACCUGCUGUGAAGUCGGAAGCAGUGUUGAUUGUGAGACAUGCCAUGGUUUUGAAUGAGCCUCUCUAAAGUUGCUUCCUCCCUACGGGUUCCAGGACCAAAACAACACAAAGUUUGCAAUGAUCCACUCAGGAAUCAGCAGGAGGGGGGCCACACGCACAGAGGAUGUUUACUUCAUAGUCUGGCAACCGGGAUGCGCUGUCGCUAUACAACACAAUGUGCUGUAUAAGUCCCAACUCCUUUCCUGUAUUUCUAUCUCCAAGUGAGCGUUUGUCUUGAUAGAAGGAUCUCAACAGUGUGAGCACUGUUCAAAAGCGUCUGUAUGAAUGCUGUGAAGAGCCUUUCAAGUGUCAGCAAACCAUGUUCUUCACUUGCUAGGAGGAAUGCAGCCUAUUAUCAAUAGAACUUGGAUAAAAGCUCCUGAAAGGCGCAGCACGGGGGGUACAGGAGGCUGAGGGAAGCAUACGUGACCGCCCUCAAAGCCAGAUCAUCCGGCUCCUCUUGUGCUCGUUGGAGAGACUUCAGCUCCAAUUCAGACGGGGUGCAAUGUUAUUUGUUCCCCCUGUGUGAGGCGCUGACUUCACCAAACAGUGGUCGGCUGGAGCGGUCAUGACCUUUGCCCCGGGUUGUUAGGAACUGCCAGAGCUGCGAGGCAGAAAGCCAGACACCAUGGAUACAGGGCCGCUGGUAUCUGUGCUGGAACUAUUUACUGGGAAUUCGAAAGACUCUUCCACAGGAUGCAAGCGUAAUUCCUUGCCGGGUAACAGUUUGAUGCUAACGAAGAAAUGUGAAAAGGCAGACAGGAUCGAGGCGGAAGACACAUUCCACAUUCCAUUUCUGACAGUGAUCCGAUUUUUUUUUUUUUUAAAGCACAGUGUUGAUGGUGGUGAGGUCCCGUGUCACUGACUCCAUUUCACAAGCAUUCCAAGUGUGGACUGGCCGUCCUCGGAGGAGAGCAAUGAAUCAACUCACCAAAUACACACUUCAGAGCUCUCAACCCGUUCAGUUUCUCUUUCAGGGUCGUCUUCUCAUCACGCCAACACACCAUCAUUAAAUUAUCCGGUGAGAAUUGCGGACGGGAUUCCAAUCCUGCAUGUCCUUUUAUGGCCCAAAAGCAGGGAGUUAUUACACAAACUAAUAAUCACAUCACGAACCACGGAGCAGAGCCACCUGCCCCCCUUCAUCACACAUAAAAUCUCCCUUUAGAUUGGACUUCUGUACUGGAAGAUGACGGAUCGCGUUGUUGUGUUGGACCAUAUGCAAGAAAAAAAAGUCAAGCAAAUUUCAGUUUUAAUGUCACUUAAACAUUCAAGGAUCCAUUGUGACAGUGUGUUUCUGGCACCUGCUAUCUUACAUUCUCGAGUAGACACACAGGCUGCUAAAUUUAUUCAUGUAUGCAGUUCUCUCAGAUUAUCUUCUUAAACAGUCCUUAAACAGUUAAUCCACUGGAAUGCUUUCCCUUUGGCCAUUGAUAUGUAAAAUGUGUGAUUGUUGUGCUUCUAUAAAAAAGCAAACACAAUCACUUUUUUUUUUUCAUAUUCAUUCUUUGCUUUGGGAAUAUGAGCUAUAUUCAGGCUUUUGUAACCUACUUUAAAGCAGUCUUUGCAUUUAGUUUCCCACGGACAAUUUAGUUGAAUUGAUUACAGUAACGAUAAAAUAUUUGAUGGGUAAAUUGUACAGUUGGAUUCAGAAUAUGUUUAUUUACACGUUGUUGUUGUUCCUACGGCAACUUUAUUUAUUGUAUUUUUCAGGGGUGAGAAUGGUUUAAAUGCUUUACACUAAAUGAUAGACACACAGGAUUGAAUGCCUUCCUAUGAUUUCAAAUUGAGGGAAUCCACAACUGUUUUCCAACACACAGAUUGAUUCCGAGUGGCACUCAGAUGCACCCACUCAACCAUCUGAAAUUCCUCUGGAAGUUAUUUAUGACCUAUUCAGCUUAUUUAUACAAUAAAUGACAUAGUUUGGUGUUUAUUGUAAGGGACUGG
ensembl:lncRNA